CUACGGGCGGCUGCAGUGGGGAAUAUUGCACAAUGGGCGAAAGCCUGAUGCAGCAACGCCGCGUGAGCGAUGAAGGCCUUCGGGUCGUAAAGCUCUGUCCUCAAGGAAGAAUUUUGACGGUACUUGAGGAGGAAGCCCCGGCUAACUACGUGCCAGCAGCCGCGGUAAUCGUAGGGGGCUAGCGUUAUCCGGAAUUACUGGGCGUAAAGGGUGCGUAGGUGGUCUGACAAGUCAGGGGUGAAAGGCUACGGCUCAACCGUAGUAAGCCCUUGAAACUGUCGGACUUGAGUGCAGGAGAGGAAAGUGGAAUUCCCAGUGUAGCGGUGAAAUGCGUAGAUAUUGGGAGGAACAUCAGUGGCGAAGGCGACUUUCUGGACUGUAACUGACACUGAGGCACGAAAGCGUGGGGAGCAAACAGGAUUAGAUACCCCCGUAGUC
rnacentral:rRNA from 1 species